AACAGGAUAGAUAAUAAACAGUAACAACAGUAUACUGUAGGUAGGGGUAACAGGAUAGAUAAUAAACAGUAACAACAGUAUACUGUAGGUAGGGGUAACAGGAUAGAUAAUAAACAGUAACAACAGUAUACUGUAGGUAGGGGUAACAGGAUAGAUAAUAAACAGUAACAACAGUAUACUGUAGGUAGGGGUAACAGGAUAGAUAAUAAACAGUAACAACAGUAUACUGUAGGUAGGGGUAACAGGAUAGAUAAUAAACAGUAACAACAGUAUACUGUAGGUAGGGGUAACAGGAUAGAUAAUAAACAGUAACAACAGUAUACUGUAGGUAGG